GUGAUAACCCUACAGCCUCUUCUGUAUACCCACAGAACAUACUCACCACAGGUAGUGACAGUGUCAGCAUCCCCACACUGCCCACCACAUACCUCACCCUGGCUUGGAGAGGCCACCUCUAGAGGGGAGAGAAGAGUUUGAUUCUAUGUCUUUGCCUUUGAGACUUCA
rnacentral:sRNA from 1 species